rnacentral:rRNA from 1 species
GUAGUCUGCAACUCGACUACAUGAAGUCGAAAUCGCUAGUAAUCGCGGAUCAGCAUGCCGCGGUGAAUACGUUCCCGGGCCUUGUACACACCGCCCGUCACACCAUGAGAGUUUGUAACACCCAAAGCCGGUGGGGUAACCCUUUGGAGCCAGCCGUCUAAGGUGGGACAGAUGAUUGGGGUGAAGUCGUAACAAGGUAGC